GGUGAACGCUAGCGGUGCGCCUAACACAUGCAAGUCGAGCGGUAGACUAUUAAUUGAACCUUCGGGUGAUUUUAAUAUUUGAGAGCGGCGAACGGGUGAGUAACACGUUGGUAUCUGCCCCAUAGUCAGGGAUAGCCAUUGGAAACGAUGAUUAAUACCGGAUAGUCUCUUUGGAGUAAAAAUUUAUUGCUAUGGGAGGAACCUGCGUUCUAUCAGCUAGUUGGUAAGGUAAAGGCUCACCAAGGCUAUGACGGAUAACUGGUCUGAGAGGAUGAUCAGUCACAAUGGAACUGAGACACGGUCCAUACUCCUACGGGAGGCAGCAGUGAGGAAUCUUCCACAAUGGACGAAAGUCUGAUGGAGCGACACCGCGUGAAGGAUGAAGGCCUAACGGUUGUAAACUUCUUUUCUGAAGGAGCAUAAUGAGAGUACUUCAGGAAUAAGGGACGGCUAAAUACGUGCCAGCCGCCGCCGUAACAC
rnacentral:rRNA from 1 species